GACGAACCGUGCGAACGUUAUUCGGAAUCACUGGGCUUAAAGCGCGUGUAGGCGGGAGGGUACGUCCGUCGCUGAAAUCCCCGGCUCAACCGGGGAACGGCGCGGAUACGGCCGUUCCUGGAGGGGCGUGAGGGGGACCUGGAACUUCCGGUGGAGCGGUGAAAUGCGUUGAGAUCGGAAGGAACGCCCGUGGCGAAAGCGAGGUCCUGGACGCCUACUGA
rnacentral:rRNA from 1 species